UGAGUGCACAGCCAAUCGUGCAGGGUGGAAUGUGCAGAGUGUCCAAUAGAAGGGCAGCAGCCUGACAGUGGCUCUGGGGUUAGUGGGGUUUUUAGGGAUGGAGGACUAAAUAAAGCAGAAGGCAGCAUAGGAUCACAUUCACACAGAGACUGGACAAGGGAAAGUGCUACCUGCCUGGUGACUAAGGUAAGAAAAUCAACAAUCAUACGAGAGGACAAGAACAAAAGCUGAACGACAUGAGUAGCUGCCGUUGACCUCUCUCAGUUCAUCACCGACAUGGACCAGACCUGCGGAUAGAGGAGGACUACCUGAUUUACAGAUUCACAACCACAUGUUCAAGCUAUACCUGCUGUGUUUGAUCCACAAUACACUUUAUAGGCAUAGUUCAAUGUAUUUUUAAUGACCAAAAAGAUCAGUAAAACCACACACACACACACACACACACACACUAUAUUCCCAUGGCAACAGCUGUGGUCAGGUGGUUAGUGAGUCUGUUUGAUUCCCUUGAUUGAGUCUCUGGAGACUCUCUUUGACCACACAGAUGGGCCAUGUGUCACUGCAGCAGACAUGCAGCCUAGUGCUCAUCACAGAGGUAAAAAUAAUCAUAUCUAGCACACUCAAUAGAGGUGCAGGGAUAUUCAUACACUUCAAUGGGUUUAGAGAUGAAUAGAACCUUUGAAGACUGCACUGGUUUUCCACUGGUAUACUCAAUGGUAAUUAAAAAAGAUUUUCAGGUGUACUGUAUAUUUGGAGCAUGGAGUAAACCGAGACCGCAAGAUUGAAGACAAAUUCUUUGAAGUGUCACUCACCACUCCUGUCUGCAGCCCCUCCUUUCAUGAUCCGAGCCACAAUCACGGCCCCUGUGGAAUCAUCCCGCCGAAUAGUGGCACCCUGAGAGACAGAGAGAGAGACAAACAGACAGUUCAACAACCUAUACAUUUAUGCUGGAUCAAAAUUUGUCUGAUGGAUCAAAAUGCUGAUGGACCAAACUGUCGUGUAUACUGAACUUUUAUUUAAAUGUAACUUGAAAACUGAAAACCUAACAAUAAAAUCUAUUCAAAAUAUUAUCAAAUACUAUAAUAAUAUAUAAAUAAUACUAAAAUAACAGUACAUGUGUCCUAAUAUUUUGGGAGUCACUGUAUUUGUUCAACUGGCAUUGUUUAUUUCUCUUACCAGCGG